UACGGGGGGAGCAAACGUUGUUCGGAAUCACUGGGCGUAAAGGGCGUGUAGGCGGCUGGAUAAGUGGGAUGUUAAAUCCCCCGGCUCAACCGGGGACCUGCAUCUCAUACUGUUCAGCUCGAGCACAUCAGAGGAGACUGGAAUUCCCGGUGUAGCGGUGAAAUUCGUAGAUAUUCGGAAGAACACCAGUGGCGAAGGCGGCUCACUGGACCGUUGUUGACGCUGAGGUGCGAAAGCGUGGGGAGCAAACAGG
rnacentral:rRNA from 1 species